GCAUAUGAAGCAAAAUUAUUUGCCUUCAAUUUCGACCUGAAAAUAGGAUAUUCCCAUUUGCA
rnacentral:tRNA from 1 species